AGCGUACACGGUGGAUGCCCUGGCAGUCAGAGGCGAUGAAGGACGUGCUAAUCUGCGAUAAGCGUCGGUAAGGUGAUAUGAACCGUUAUAACCGGCGAUUUCCGAAUGGGGAAACCCAGUGUGAUUCGUCACACUAUCAUUAACUGAAUCCAUAGGUUAAUGAGGCGAACCGGGGGAACUGAAACAUCUAAGUACCCCGAGGAAAAGAAAUCAACCGAGAUUCCCCCAGUAGCGGCGAGCGAACGGGGAGGAGCCCAGAGCCUGAAUCAGUGUGUGUGUUAGUGGAAGCGUCUGGAAAGGCGCGCGAUACAGGGUGACAGCCCCGUACACAAAAAUGCACAUGCUGUGAGCUCGAUGAGUAGGGCGGGACACGUGGUAUCCUGUCUGAAUAUGGGGGGACCAUCCUCCAAGGCUAAAUACUCCUGACUGACCGAUAGUGAACCAGUACCGUGAGGGAAAGGCGAAAAGAACCCCGGCGAGGGGAGUGAAAAAGAACCUGAAACCGUGUACGUACAAGCAGUGGGAGCACAGAGCAAUCUGUGUGACUGCGUACCUUUUGUAUAAUGGGUCAGCGACUUAUAUUCUGUAGCAAGGUUAACCGAAUAGGGGAGCCGAAGGGAAACCGAGUCUUAACUGGGCGUUAAGUUGCAGGGUAUAGACCCGAAACCCGGUGAUCUAGCCAUGGGCAGGUUGAAGGUUGGGUAACACUAACUGGAGGACCGAACCGACUAAUGUUGAAAAAUUAGCGGAUGACUUGUGGCUGGGGGUGAAAGGCCAAUCAAACCGGGAGAUAGCUGGUUCUCCCCGAAAGCUAUUUAGGUAGCGCCUCGUGAAUUCAUCUCCGGGGGUAGAGCACUGUUUCGGCAAGGGGGUCAUCCCGACUUACCAACCCGAUGCAAACUACGAAUACCGGAGAAUGUUAUCACGGGAGACACACGGCGGGUGCUAACGUCCGUCGUGAAGAGGGAAACAACCCAGACCGCCAGCUAAGGUCCCAAAGUCAUGGUUAAGUGGGAAACGAUGUGGGAAGGCCCAGACAGCCAGGAUGUUGGCUUAGAAGCAGCCAUCAUUUAAAGAAAGCGUAAUAGCUCACUGGUCGAGUCGGCCUGCGCGGAAGAUGUAACGGGGCUAAACCAUGCACCGAAGCUGCGGCAGCGACGCUUAUGCGUUGUUGGGUAGGGGAGCGUUCUGUAAGCCUGCGAAGGUGUGCUGUGAGGCAUGCUGGAGGUAUCAGAAGUGCGAAUGCUGACAUAAGUAACGAUAAAGCGGGUGAAAAGCCCGCUCGCCGGAAGACCAAGGGUUCCUGUCCAACGUUAAUCGGGGCAGGGUGAGUCGACCCCUAAGGCGAGGCCGAAAGGCGUAGUCGAUGGGAAACAGGUUAAUAUUCCUGUACUUGGUGUUACUGCGAAGGGGGGACGGAGAAGGCUAUGUUGGCCGGGCGACGGUUGUCCCGGUUUAAGCGUGUAGGCUGGUUUUCCAGGCAAAUCCGGAAAAUCAAGGCUGAGGCGUGAUGACGAGGCACUACGGUGCUGAAGCAACAAAUGCCCUGCUUCCAGGAAAAGCCUCUAAGCAUCAGGUAACAUCAAAUCGUACCCCAAACCGACACAGGUGGUCAGGUAGAGAAUACCAAGGCGCUUGAGAGAACUCGGGUGAAGGAACUAGGCAAAAUGGUGCCGUAACUUCGGGAGAAGGCACGCUGAUAUGUAGGUGAAGUCCCUCGCGGAUGGAGCUGAAAUCAGUCGAAGAUACCAGCUGGCUGCAACUGUUUAUUAAAAACACAGCACUGUGCAAACACGAAAGUGGACGUAUACGGUGUGACGCCUGCCCGGUGCCGGAAGGUUAAUUGAUGGGGUCAGCGCAAGCGAAGCUCUUGAUCGAAGCCCCGGUAAACGGCGGCCGUAACUAUAACGGUCCUAAGGUAGCGAAAUUCCUUGUCGGGUAAGUUCCGACCUGCACGAAUGGCGUAAUGAUGGCCAGGCUGUCUCCACCCGAGACUCAGUGAAAUUGAACUCGCUGUGAAGAUGCAGUGUACCCGCGGCAAGACGGAAAGACCCCGUGAACCUUUACUAUAGCUUGACACUGAACAUUGAGCCUUGAUGUGUAGGAUAGGUGGGAGGCUUUGAAGUGUGGACGCCAGUCUGCAUGGAGCCGACCUUGAAAUACCACCCUUUAAUGUUUGAUGUUCUAACGUUGACCCGUGAUCCGGGUUGCGGACAGUGUCUGGUGGGUAGUUUGACUGGGGCGGUCUCCUCCUAAAGAGUAACGGAGGAGCACGAAGGUUGGCUAAUCCUGGUCGGACAUCAGGAGGUUAGUGCAAUGGCAUAAGCCAGCUUGACUGCGAGCGUGACGGCGCGAGCAGGUGCGAAAGCAGGUCAUAGUGAUCCGGUGGUUCUGAAUGGAAGGGCCAUCGCUCAACGGAUAAAAGGUACUCCGGGGAUAACAGGCUGAUACCGCCCAAGAGUUCAUAUCGACGGCGGUGUUUGGCACCUCGAUGUCGGCUCAUCACAUCCUGGGGCUGAAGUAGGUCCCAAGGGUAUGGCUGUUCGCCAUUUAAAGUGGUACGCGAGCUGGGUUUAGAACGUCGUGAGACAGUUCGGUCCCUAUCUGCCGUGGGCGCUGGAGAACUGAGGGGGGCUGCUCCUAGUACGAGAGGACCGGAGUGGACGCAUCACUGGUGUUCGGGUUGUCAUGCCAAUGGCACUGCCCGGUAGCUAAAUGCGGAAGAGAUAAGUGCUGAAAGCAUCUAAGCACGAAACUUGCCCCGAGAUGAGUUCUCCCUGACUCCUUGA
rnacentral:rRNA from 1 species